AAAAUUACAAAAUUCCAUGUAUAUCGGUGAAUUUUCUGCAAAUAAUAUGUUUGUGAUUUUCAAAAUCUAUAUAAUAAAAACGGAAAUAAGAUGGAAAAUAGGAAUGUGACAUCUGUGGUACUGUCUUUCAGAGCGUGAAAGCCAUAAAAUCCAGUCAGCAAGUAGCAUCAAAUGUUAAGAAAAUUUGGAAGUAGUUUUGCUUGUUGUAAUAUUAUGCAAAUAUUGAAUAGUAUAUCGAAAUUUUAGAUUUUUGUUUCCUUAAACAUGCCUCACCAGGUUCGAUGUGAAUGAACUUCAAAUCUGCUUACCAGUACCCCCUGGUUUUGAGGAAUGCGCUUACGUUGCAUACUGGUACUAGAACAUUGAUUGAAAAUAAAGAAAAUCUGUAACUCUUAAUUUUAAGCUCUGAAAUUAAACUAAGACAUACUUUAGACUAAGCUACUCCCAUUUUUUUUAGCAUGAUGAUUGUCUUAUUAUGCUAAAUAUAAAUUAUUCAACCAAUUUUGAGUUAAUUUUUGUAAGAUUAUUAAAUUAAUACACGCGCCAAUAUGUAAUGGUUAUUUUUAUUAAUACUUGUCUUUUUUUUCCAUUCCAAAAUGUGCAACCCUUGGAGAUCCAUUUGCUGCAUAUCUUCAUAAAUCUGAAGUUGCUGCAAAUAAUUAUGUUCCAAAAGAGUGAUCAACCCUUAUUUCUCAACUUGUUAGAAUACCUGAUCGACUUUCUUCUGCUGCGAAUGGUCUGAAAGUAGUUGUCAGAUCGCCAAAUUUUGGAUAAUAGUUGACGACUUCGGACACUGACUUUGCGACUCGGACUUUCAAAGAAAAAAAAUUAAUUUAUAUAUCGGUACCUUUUCGUUUGCACCGAGUCUGUUUUUUUGGCCGUGUGAGGUGCGAGGUCUAAUUAUCACAUUGAUAUUCAACAAGGAAGUCUACUCAUACCAAUAGCUGUCUAUUGAUGAUGGAGCUUUGGGAAGUUGGAAGUCAAAUUGUUGGAACUUUUCCAAGAACUAUCAACUCAUUGUUUUUUAAUAACUGUGUAUAAAAAACACUCCAUAAUCUUAAAAUACAAUAUUACCAUGCAGGUUGGUCAGCUCGGCUCGGUGAAAAACUUAUUAAUAACUUGUUAUGAAGAAA